rnacentral:rRNA from 1 species
UCCUACGGGGGGCAGCAGUGGGGAAUAUUGCACAAUGGGCGCAAGCCUGAUGCAGCGACGCCGCGUGAGCGAAGAAGUAUUUCGGUAUGUAAAGCUCUAUCAGCAGGGAAGAAAAUGACGGUACCUGACUAAGAAGCUCCGGCUAAAUACGUGCCAGCAGCCGCGGUAAUACGUAUGGAGCAAGCGUUAUCCGGAAUGAUUGGGCGUAAAGGGUGCGUAGGCGGCCUGCUAAGUCUGGAGUGAAAGGUACCGGCUCAACCGGUACAGGCUCUGGAAACUGGCGGGCUAGAGAGCAGGAGAGGGCG